ensembl:lncRNA
CUGUAUUGUAAACAUAAAAUGUACCGGCUGACUUUUAUUCCAUACUCUUUCCAAACACCCUGCGCUGAACAGAUAGCCUACAGUAUAUACUUCAAAGGAUACUCCGGAGGCCACGAGACUGUUCCAAUGGGACUUGAAGGGAUGAUGGCUGGCUUCCUGUCCUCACGAUCACUGAUCUCAGCCGUUUGGUGCAGUGUGCUCAGGAGGACCACAUUCUUGUUCCUCUUUGGGAGUUUCAGAUGAUGUCCAGUACGCCACGGCUGCUCCAGCCAAUAAACAAGGUGACUAACAAUGGAAGUGGGCCAGGAAUGAAGAGAAUGAGACAGGGUAUAACCUCACAACACUCAGCAGGGAGAAAAGAGGGGGGGGGGGAGUGUAACGUGUAUCAAAUACAAAUGGUUUUAUGCAUCUAUAGUCUAUUUUGGAAUGACUAACAUCUCGUGUAGUUCUGUGUAUAUCAUUUUGUUCUGACCAUGAGAUAUUAGAUUGCUUUAAACAAAU